GUAAUCGUUAUGAGCUACUUUAGUGGAACGAGGCCUUCGGUGGACAGGCAGAUCCAAUCAAUAAGUCCAUCACUGAAAGCAACAUCCUGUCCCUCCUGUAACUCCUCGUGGAACCAACUGUCUGCACCCUCACGUUCCUGAUGUUCCUCGGAGGUCGGACACACCGCCGACAUCUGGUGACCAGAGGAAACCGCGACGCUAACGGCUCACCACCGCCCACCUGUGUGUGGACACGAUGCCUCGGAAACUGUCUCCAGCCACAAACCGGAGGAGCUGAACGGAGGAUGCGUGAGACCAUCGAGCAGCCGCGCCCUCACCCCAUCUGGGAUCACACAGCCGCAGCACAUGCCUUCUGAUUGAUUUAUUCAAGAUUAAUUGUUGCUUUGUCGGCUCAUUGCUUCCAACCGGUUCGCGUCAGAUGUCUGUGCUUUGCACUACAUUUGAACGCGGUGCAAACAAAGGGUCCUCCGCUCGUCUCGUCGCCACGAUGCAGCUACAGGUCGGCGCCAUGAAUUAGGCCACCAAUAAAGACAGACGAGUCUGGCCUCC
ensembl:lncRNA